GCUCCAAUAGCGUAUAUUAAAGUUGUUGCAGUUAAAAAGCUCGUAGUUGAACUUGGGCCUUGGCUGGCCGGUCCGCCCUUAACGGCGUGUACUUGUCCGGCCGGGCCUUUUCCUUCUGGGAACCCGGCAUCCCUUCACUGGGUGUGUUGGGGAACCCGGACUUUUACUUUGAAAAAAUUAGAGUGUUCAAAGCAGGCCUUUGCUCGAAUACAUUAGCAUGGAAUAAUAGAAUAGGACGUGCGGUCCUAUUUUGUUGGUUUCUAGGGCCGCCGUAAUGAUUAAUAGGGACAGUCGGGGGCAUCAGUAUUGAGUUGUAGAGGUGAAAUUCUUGGAUUUAUUGAAGACUGACUACUGCGAAAGCAUUUGCCAAGGAUGUUUUCAUUAAUCAGUGAACGAAAGUUAGGGGAUCGAAGA
rnacentral:rRNA from 2 species